rnacentral:rRNA from 1 species
GACGAACGCUGGCGGCGCGCCUAACACAUGCAAGUCGAACGGGAUCUAAUUGGAGCUUGCUCCGGGUAGAUCCAGUGGCGGACGGGUGAGUAACACGUGAGCAACCUGCCUUACAGAGGGGGAUAACGUCUGGAAACGGACGCUAAUACCGCAUAACAUCUUGGGAUGGCAUCAUCCUGGGAUCAAAGGAGCAAUCCGCUGGAAGAUGGGCUCGCGCCCGAUUAGAUAGUUGGUGGGGUAAUGGCCCACCAAGUCUGCGAUCGGUAGCCGGACUGAGAGGUUGAUCGGCCACAUUGGGACUGAGACACGGCCCAGACUCCUACGGGAGGCAGCAGUGGGGAAUAUUGCACAAUGGGGGAAACCCUGAUGCAGCGACGCCGCGUGAGUGAAGACGGUCUUCGGAUUGUAAAGCUCUGUCUUCGGGGACGAUAAUGACGGUACCCGAGGAGGAAGCCACGGCUAACUACGUGCCAGCCGCCGCCGUAACAC